rnacentral:rRNA from 1 species
UACAGAGGUCUCAAGCGUUGUUCGGAUUCAUUGGGCGUAAAGGGUGCGUAGGCGGCGCGGUAAGUCGGGUGUGAAAUCUCGGAGCUUAACUCCGAAACUGCAUUCGAUACUGCCGUGCUUGAGGACUGGAGAGGAGACUGGAAUUUACGGUGUAGCGGUGAAAUGCGUAGAGAUCGGGAGGAACACCAGAGGCGAAGGCGGCUCGCUGGACGAUGACUGACACUCGAACUGCGAAAGCCGUGGGGAGCAAACAGG